GACGAACGCUGGCGGCGUGGAUUAGGCAUGCAAGUCGAGCGUGUACCUGUAGCAAUACAGGGAAAGCGGCGUAAGGGACAGGAAUACGUAGACUACCUACCCUCAGGUUCAGGAUAGCUGCGGGAAACUGCAAUUAAUACUGAAUGAUAUCUCCGGAUCAAAGGUGUGAUUCCGCCGGAGGAUGGGUCUGCGCCCUAUUAGCUUGUUGGUGGGUAACGGCCUACCAAGGCAANGAUGGGUAGCAGGUGUGAGAGCACGACCUGCGUCACUGGGGACUGAGACACUGCCCAGACACCUACGGGUGGCUGCAGUCGAGGAUCUUCGGCAAUGGGCGCAAGCCUGACCGAGCGACGCCGCGUGCGGGAUGAAGGCCU
rnacentral:rRNA from 1 species